UUUGCCUUUGUAGGGCAGUACAGGCAGCCAACUAAAGAUUGAAUGGACAUGUUUGAAUAAUCAUCAUGGCAAGUGGGCAUCAUGUCCUGAUGCAAGAGGAAUGGCACAGAAUAACCUGCUUGUUUCCGCUGCUACGCUUUUCUCUGGAACAACUUUCACUGAAGUACACGAGUGGGCCAGCAUCCUAAACUUGCAACUCUUGAAGAAAUCGCAGUACUACUCCAUCCAAUCCGACUACCUUAUUCCAGUAGUACACUUUGCAUACAAAGAUCAUCAUGAGAAUCUCAUCAGGCGACUUAUUGGACAAAAGGCUGAAGGCGAGUCCAUAGAGCUGUGUGGAGAUGCCAGGUCUGACUCACCAGACAGUGCCGGCUUCCUGUGUUGUCCAGGCCAUCAGAGCUAAUUACCCAGCACAAGAUUGGCAGUACCGUGGCUACCAGGAGACAGCAGAUGCUAUUUUGACUCUAGCAAACGCACC
ensembl:lncRNA